rnacentral:rRNA from 1 species
GAUUAACGCUGGCGGCGUGCAUAAAACAUGCAAGUCGAGCGCGGUGCGACUUCGGUCGCAUCUAGCGGCGCACGGGUGAGUAACACGUGAGCAACCUACCUUGGAGUCCGGGAUAGCCCUGAGAAAUCAGGAUUAAUACCGGAUGAUGUCAUCACCAGGCAUCUGGAGAUGAGAAAAGGCGCAAGCCGUUCCAAGACGGGCUCGCGGCCUAUUAGCUAGUUGGUGGGGUAACGGCCUACCAAGGCGGAGAUGGGUAGCUGGUCUGAGAGGACGAUCAGUCACACUGGGACUGAGACACGGCCCAGACUCCUACGGGAGGCAGCAGUUAGGAAUUUUCCGCAAUGGGCGCAAGCCUGACGGAGCAACGCCGCGUGGGUGAUGAAGGCCGUU